rnacentral:rRNA from 1 species
GUAAUGGCGAGUGAAUGGAGACGAGCUCACUUUGGAAAUUGGGGCUUCUUUGGCCUUGAAUUGUAGUCUCGAGGUGUGCUGCCAGUGGAGGCGCAGAUGUUGGCCUCUUGGAAGAGAGCAUCAGUGAGGGUGAGAGUCCUGUCUGUCUUUUGCAGCCCUCCGCACACGGUGCCCUUUCUGCGAGUCAUGCUCCUUGGAAUUGGAGUGUAAAAAAGGUGGUAAAUUUCAUCUCAAGCUAAAUAUUGGGUCGAGACCGAUAGAAAACAAGUACCAUGAGGGAAAGAUGAAAAGGACUUUGAAAAGAGAGUUAGAAGUGCCUGAAAUUGCUGAAAACGAAGAGAAUGGAACUAGCACAGCUUUGCGAGAUUGUCACGUGGUAAAGUGCACCAGCGACACGUGUUGCUUCUCGCCUCGUGCGUCCACUCCAGCUUGUGGCCGAGGAAACCGCCGGGGACAUGGUGCUCAGCCUGCGGGCGGGCAAAUGUUCUCUGCAGAACUCGUUCGCGAACUGAAGCUUGA